ensembl:lncRNA
CAACAGACAGGCAGACAGACAUACAGUUGAUAGACAAGCAGGCAUAUAGUAGAGAGACAGACAGAAAAAUAGACAGACAGACAGGCCGACUGACACAAAGAUGCACAGGCAGACAGAUAGACAGACAGGCACAGAGACCCACAGAGAGACGGGCAGACAGAUACAGUACGUAGAAGGAUGGACAGACAGACGGGUAGAUACAGUAGACAGAAAGAUAUACAGAGAGUGAGACAGAUAGUAUGUAGACAGGUGGACAGACAAACAUAAAGACAGAUAGAUACGACAGACAGACAGGCAGGCAGACAGACAUAAAGACAGAUACAGUAGACAGACAGACAAGUAGAUAAAGAGACAGAUAGAUAAACAGGCAGGCCAAGAGAUAGACACUGUAGAAAGACAGAUCCACACACAGACAAAUGGACAGAUAAAUAGACAGACAGACAGAUAAAUAGACAGACAGACAGAUAAAUAGACAGACAGAUAAAUAGAUAGAGCAGAUAGACAGGCAGACAUUAAGACAUACAGUUGACAGACAGAGAGACAGAAAGACAGAAGGGUCUGAGACGGAAUGAUUGAUUUAUUCAGCGUGAUAUCGGUUAGAAUUAAGGUGUUUAAUCAGACGUUUAAAUCAGACGUUUGGUGUUAUUUUAAAAUGACUCUUUGAAACGAUUUUUUUUUUUUUUUGCAGUUUAUGGAUUCUGGACUUUCCUUUGUGUGUUUCUGAGCACCGUGGACUGAUUUCCUGAUUUCUCUGUGCAGUUGAAAAUCUCAUUGGCCUGACCGCAAGCCCGUGCCAUCUACUCUGAAUGGUACAAUAGCCGGCAUUCUGGCGAGGAAUUGAACGCUGCUGGCUGAUACCUGUUAGAUGGGCUUGAAAUGAUGAUCCAUCUUAGGCAGUUUGCUCAGGUCAGGUGGAGUUUUAUCAUUGUUUUUCCUCUCUGACAGACAAAUAUCUGCUGGUGGAUUUCUUCUCGUCUCCCUGCUGGAAUCUACAACCAGGUGUGCGGCCUCGGGAAUUUUUACGUCGUCCACGGUAUGUUCGUCGAGGAUCUCGUCGUAAUCGUCUCAAGUCGACAUCGGCUCAGGAUCUCAUCACAUUCCGGCAGCCUGCUCCUCAUUUCAACCCGGCUCCUCAGCCCAGCUUUCUGAUUUAAUCUGACGGAUGGAGCGUUCGAGCUGUAUGAUGGAUGUUCUUCCUGCACGUCUUUCGAAAGAGGUUUUCGAAACUGUCAGUCCACUUGUGACGACCAUUAUUAAUAGCUCGUCAGCUCCCGGAGUUGCUGGGAAAAGUUGUUUAUGCACACUUAUAUUCUCAUUUGAAUUUUUAAAAAAAAUAUUUUAGACGAGUUCCAGUCAGGUUUGAGAUCUUUACACGGUGCUGAAUCUGCCCUGUUAAAACCUACCAAUGAUAUUUUAACGUCACUUGACUCUAGCAGUUUUGCUGUGUUGGUCUUAUCGGAUCUUAGCGCUGCCUUUGAUACGAUCGACCAUAGUGUUCUUUUAAAUCUUAGAGUCUGUGGUCGGUAUCAAGGGUCUGGCUUUGCAUCUUAUCUGAAAGAUAGGACUUUCGCAGUAAACACUGGGAAUUUCUCUUCUUCCUCGGCCCACUUAUCGUGUGGCGUUCCUCAGGGCUCCAUAUUGGGUCCUCUGUUGUUUUCCGUUUAUAUGCUUCCCCUGGGUUCUAUGUUUUUUUCUGACCCCCGGAAAUAUGAUAUUUAGUUUCACUGCUAUGUUGAUGAUACCCAAUUAUAUUUGCCAGUUGGCAUCAGUCCUUUUGGGUCGCUUUUUAAAUGUCUUGAGGACAUCAAAUGGCGGAUGGCUAACAACCGUCUGCAGCGAAAUGAAAGCGAAACUGAAGUCUGAAGUUAUUUUGGGCUCCCGUACUGUCUCCUCAGCUCUUGAGGCCUAGUCAGGUCACCUAGGAGUCAUUUUUGACUCAAACAAAUCAGCGCUGUAGUUAAGGGGAGCUUCUUUCAUUUAAGAUCUAUUGCAAAGUUCAAACAGUUUCUCUCUAGAAAAGACCUAGAACCUGUGAGUCAUGCUCUUGCUACAUUCUCUAUACAAAUGACUGUCAGACUCCAGUCACCACCACUCAUUACUUUAAAUAUGCAGACGAUACUGCCAUUCUUCCAUUGCUGAAUAAGGACAAUGAUUCGUUUUUGGACUGUCAACGCUCCCAAAGCACAUUUUACUACAUGGUGUGAUGAUAACUUUCUCCACCUUAAUAUCGCGAAGAGCUCCUUUUUAGCUCCUCAAAAGCACCGACCCGUCCUUCCAGUGUUACCAUUGACGGGGAGAUGGUUGAAAGGGUGGAGCAUUUCAGAUAUCCGGGCAUCACAUUACAUUGGAUAAACAUCUCAAGUUCAAUCAGCACACUCUAGGUAUUUACAAGUGCUGUCAACAGAGACUCACAGUUAUCCGUAGACUUAAAUAUCUCUCCGUCCAGCCUGGUCUGCUUCUUCUUCUGUAUCGAGGUAUUAUCGAAACUGGUUCUUAUGUAUGAUGCCAUUUGUUUUGUUUUUUUCCUCCAUAUGCUAACAGUUACCGAUAAGAACGAACUAAUUUAGCGGGAAGAACGAUUGGUAUUCCCAACCCCGAUUUAUCGGACCGUGCCAUUUCACGUACGCCCCGGAAGGCACAUCAAAUUUUAAACGAUCCGGACCACCCGCUUUAUCGAUAUUUCCACCCGCUUCCUUCUGGACGCAGGUAUAGACUACCCAUGUGCAGAAAGGCCAGCUACGGUAGUUGUUUUGUUCCUAUGGCUAUAUGCAUACUCUGCUCUGGCAUUGUAUGAUCCUGACGUGUUCUUUGUGUUCCCUCUAUGCCCGUGAUUGUUUUUGGGUCUUGGGUUUCUUCUUUCUACGCACCCACGGUGGGUAUAAAUAAAAGGAUCUGUCUAUCUACAUCACGGUUGGACUACUGUUAUUCUUUGUAUGUCGGCCUUCCUCGACCCGCCUUAUCUCGUCUGUAGCGCGUGCAAAUUAUUCUCUGGGUUAUAACGUUAUUUAACGUGAUGGAUUUGAAUGUUUCGGAUCAGCGCCUGUCGUCCAUUGUUAAACGUGCUUAAUACAUAAAUCAGCCAUGACUUUUAAUAGCUUCAGGACUUUUAUAUGAAUAAAAAAAAAGUGUACAUCUGAAUCAAAUGAGUUCAUCGUAAUAAGAAGGAUCGCUGUUUUCAUUAAUCACGGAGAAUAAAGGUGCCGCUCUACAGUUAUUUCCCUCUCGGCCAUGUGACGUGAUCUUAGACCGAAUAUCCCACGAACCGAAACUGACCUGAGAUCUGCUGUUCUUUACUGAGACCAUCUGAAUCUAGUUAUGACUUUCUCGAUUGUAAUGCAUGUCAGCGUUACACACGGCUACGGCGCUGCACGUGAUCAGUCUGGGGUGGGAAAUACUAACGAGGACGGGAGUCCACACCGGUGUCUAAUUACCGACAUGACCAAUAACCAGUGAAAAGUACAGAAGGUGUGAUACGACGUAGCGUUUAUUAUUCUUUGCUGCGUUUAUAUAUUGUCCCCACACCCCAAUGAGCUCUGCAGAUGGUUUUGCUGGUUUCACAGAUAUGCUUGAGUUUCAACAUCACCUGUAUAUUGACUCUAGAUGAGGUCCUAGGAAGCCACACGUACACACACACACACACACACACACACACACUCGUUCCCCAAACACGUUCAUGCAGAGACUAAAUGCAAAUAAUGUAGGCAGGAUGUGACUCACAAACGAAAACACGCUACUCAGAUGACACGCUCAUUCACAUCGAAAGAAAAACUGAGCCGAGAGGCUGACUAGCGAGCGGGAAACGGCUGACGAUGAAAAACGCUGACCCGAUCAGUGCGCUAAUAUCAGGAGAACAUGUACACAACAUCGUUAUAUCUAGAAAUCUAUUUAUUGAUGCGUGCGGCAAACAUGAAAAGGGUUACAGCGAGAAGGACGUGGGACGUGAAAGGGGCACGUGCUUCUGUUAUCUAGAGUCGACCUUUGACGUGAGCGAUGCAAAACAAAAUCGCAAAGCACAUGCUGUCGGGACUGCCUGGUUUAGAACUGAUAGCGAGGAAAACAGUCGCUGAGGAGGAGGAGGAUUCACGGGGAGAGGAGCGUUAAUGAGGAGAGAGAGAGGAAGAGAGAGGAGUGUUAAUGAGGAGAGAGAGAGGAGUGUUAAUGAGGAGAGAAGAGGAGUGUUAAUGAGGAGAGAGAGAGGAGAGAGAGAGGAGUGUUAAUGAGGAGAAGAGAGAGGAGUGUUAAUGAGGAGAGAGAGGAGGAGUGUUAAUGAGGAGAGAGUAGAGAGGUAGUG